UACGUAGGUGGCAAGCGUUGUCCGGAUUUACUGGGCGUAAAGAGCGCGCAGGCGGUCGUCCAAGUCGCGUGUGAAAGCCCCCGGCUCAACUGGGGAGGGUCACGCGAUACUGUUCGACUCGAAGGCAGGAGAGGGAAGCGGAAUUCCCGGUGUAGUGGUGAAAUGCGUAGAUAUCGGGAGGAACACCAGUGGCGAAGGCGGCUUCCUGGCCUGUUCUUGACGCUGAGGCGCGAAAGCUAGGGUAGCAAACGGG
rnacentral:rRNA from 1 species